rnacentral:rRNA from 1 species
UGCGGAGGAUCAAUAAUGAACGAGGCCCCGCCGCGUCGAAAGGCGCGCGCGGGCGUCCAUUCUUACCCUUAUCACCCUUGUGCACUCUGAUCGCGCGUGCCGAAGCCGACUCUACGAGUCGUUGGAGGCCGCGUGAGAUGGCGUUUUGCCCCAACCUAUGAAGUUGUUUGAUGUGACGAACGUUGGAAAUCUUAACAACUCCUGACGACGGAUCUCUCGGCUCCCACACCGAUGAAGAACGUGGCUAAAUGCGAUAAGUGAUGUGAAUUGCAGAACGCUCAGUGAAUCAUCGAAUCUUUGAACGCACCUUGCGCUCCCCGGUACUCUGGGGAGCAUGCCCGUUUGAGUGUCGUGUGCCUCUUCACCGGAGCCGCCGUGACUUGUUCACCUUGGCUUGCAGGUGGCGGUGGGAUCGUUGGCCGCCUCUUCCGGGGGCGUCGUCGACCUUCCUCAAAUCGAUCAGCGAUGCCCGGUCCCAAAACCUCUGGUAUAAAGUGGGUGUUAACUUUUACUACCUACGCCGUUGGUGGAAGGGUCUCCGUGGAGCCUUUGCUUUCUAACCGUCCUCUUCGGACAACACGCUCUCUCGCUCUGACCUCAAAUCGGGUAGGGUUACCCGCUGAAUUUAA